rnacentral:rRNA from 1 species
AUGCUUUAUGGUUUCGUAAGGAUCAUUA